rnacentral:rRNA from 1 species
CGCCCAGACUCUACGGGAGCAGCAGUGGGAAUAUUGCACAAUGGGCGCAAGCUGAUGCAGCAACGCCGCGUGAGGGACGACGGCUUCGGGUUGUAAACCUCUUUUAGUAGGGAAGAAGCGAAAGUGACGGUACCUGCAGAAAAAGCACCGGCUAACUACGUGCCAGCAGCCGCGGUAAUACGUAGGGUGCGAGCGUUGUCCGGAAUUAUUGGGCGUAAAGAGCUCGUAGGCGGUUUGUCGCGUCUGCUGUGAAAUCUGGGGGCUCAACCCCCAGCCUGCAGUGGGUACGGGCAGACUAGAGUGCGGUAGGGGAGAUUGGAAUUCCUGGUGUAGCGGUGGAAUGCGCAGAUAUCAGGAGGAACACCGAUGGCGAAGGCAGAUCUCUGGGCCGUAACUGACGCUGAGGAGCGAAAGCAUGGGGAGCGAACAGGAUUAGAUACCCUGGUAGUCCAUGCCGUAAACGUUGGGAACUAGAUGUAGGGGCCAUUCCACGGUUUCUGUGUCGCAGCUAACGCAUUAAGUUCCCCGCCUGGGGAGUACGGCCGCAAGGCUAAAACUCAAAGGAAUUGACGGGGGCCCGCACAAGCGGCGGAGCAUGCGGAUUAAUUCGAUGCAACGCGAAGAACCUUACCAAGGCUUGACAUAUACCGGAAACGUCCAGAGAUGGUCGCCCCGCAAGGUCGGUAUACAGGUGGUGCAUGGUUGUCGUCAGCUCGUGUCGUGAGAUGUUGGGUUAAGUCCCGCAACGAGCGCAACCCUCGUUCUAUGUUGCCAGCACGUUAUGGUGGGAACUCAUAGGAGACUGCCGGGGUCAACUCGGAGGAAGGUGGGGAUGACGUCAAAUCAUCAUGCCCCUUAUGUCUUGGGCUUCACGCAUGCUACAAUGGCCGAUACAAAGGGCUGCGAUACCGUAAGGUGGAGCGAAUCCCAAAAAGUCGGUCUCAGUUCGGAUUGAGGUCUGCACACUCGACCUCAUGAAGUCGGAGUCGCUAGU